UAAUUAGACUCAACACAAGAUUUUCUCUCGUAUACGUAGGAUUAGGAAGAAACAAGGUUUAACAAACAAUUUCGUCGCUUUUUCUACGAAGACCAGUCGUGACUUGUGGGUGGUACCCGCGAAAUUCAAGCUCCAGAAGCCUGGCGACUAUUGCAGCAGAGAUUUGAUUCAACUUCUAGAAAUGGGCUUCCUUGGAGUUUGGUUUAGUUAAUGAAAGGUAUUAUUUCCCCUCGUGUUCUUCGGUAGCUUUCAGAGAGACGAAAGCUGAAGUUGAGAAUUGAGAUCGUCUCCGUAUGCGCGUUUGUAUGGUCGCUAUCGUCUGCAACUCGAAGGAGAGAUAGAGGUCUGUGCUUAAAGUUUCAAGCUUACCUUCAUUGACGGAGAAAAUUCAGAAAACGGGAAUUUUUUUUUUCUGUCCCGUUCAUUGCUAUUUAUAAGGCGUUUGGAUAUGAGAUGGAAACAUUCCGGUGUUUGACAAGUGGGUUUGAGGGUUCAAGGGCUGUCUUUUUCUGGGAUUCUCUUGUUUGAGGGACAGAGAUUUCGCUUGAGAUUACAGUUAGUAAACCAAAGGGUGGUGUUGCAGUUCGGACAAUUAGCUUUGUUUUGUCUGUAUCUUGAGGACAUUCUUUUCUUUUUUAAUUUUUGGGUGGUACAUUUGGAGAACUCCUUGGAUCUUUCUGGAUUUUGCUCCCUUUUCUGUCUCUGAAGCAGUUCCCAUUUUUUUUUUUCUGGAUUAUAUUUUAUUUUUUCUUCCGGGGCCUGAGUUUGUUUCUGUGCUGUGUCUCUGAGUCUCUGCUCUUAGCAGUUGAUUGGUGCCUUGGUGGGUGUUCUGUUAAAAAAGUUGGUUUUUUGGGGGAUUUUGGUUCUGGGAAUUGGUGGGAGGUAGUCCUUCUUUUAGGAAUAGGAGCUACAUUUUAUUGGGAGUUUUUUUUUCUGGUGGAAUUGGCAGCAGAGCUAUAAGAUGAGUGAUGGAAGAAGAAAGAAGCUACAUUUCAGCAAGAUCUAUUCUUUCGCCUGUGGGAAAGCAUCGUUCAAGGACGACCUUUCUCAGAUUGGUGGUCCGGGCUUCUCGAGGUUGGUAUUCUGCAAUGAACCAGAUUGUUCUGAGGCCACUUCACGCAAUUAUGGAGGGAAUUAUGUUAGAACAACAAAGUAUACACUCGCCACGUUCUUCCCCAAGUCCUUGUUCGAGCAGUUCAGGAGGGUCGCUAACAUGUACUUCCUAGUCGUUGGCUGCUUGUCCUUCACUCCGCUUGCUCCUUACGCUGCAGUCAGUGCCAUUAUUCCUCUUAUCAUUGUGAUUGGGGCUACCAUGAUCAAAGAGGCUAUUGAAGACUGGAGGAGAAAGAAACAGGACAUUGAGGUGAACAACCGGAAGGUUAAGGUGCAUUGUGGCAAUGGCAUUUUUAACUAUACCGAAUGGAAGAAUCUGAGAGUUGGAGAUAUAGUGAAAGUAGAGAAGGAUUCUUUUUUUCCAGCUGACUUAUUAUUGCUUUCAUCCAGUUAUGGUGAUGCCAUUUGCUAUGUUGAGACCAUGAACCUUGAUGGGGAGACAAAUUUGAAACUAAAACAGGCACUGGAGGUGACUUCAGGCUUAAAUGAGGAUUCCAGCUUCCAGGAUUUCAAGGCACUUGUUAAAUGUGAAGAUCCAAAUGUGAACCUGUAUACUUUUGUUGGAAGCAUGGAUGUGAAGGAGCAACAAUUUCCCCUUAGUCCUCAGCAACUUCUCCUCAGGGACUCAAAGCUUCGGAAUACAGACUACAUCUACGGGGCUGUUGUUUUUACAGGUCAUGACACUAAAGUUAUUCAAAAUUCCACUGAGCCCCCAUCAAAGAGAAGUAAAAUUGAGAAGAAGAUGGAUAAAAUUGUCUACUUCUUGUUUUGCACUUUGUUUUUAAUGGCUUUGAUUGGGUCAAUUUUCUUUGGGAUUACAACUAAUGAGGACCUGGGAAAUGGCUGGAUGAAAAGGUGGUAUCUUAGACCUGAUGAUUCAACCAUCUACUUUGAUCCCAAGAAAGCACCCACUGCAGCUGUUCUGCAUUUUUUGACUGCAUUGAUGUUAUACAAUUCCUUGAUUCCUAUCUCCUUGUAUGUAUCAAUAGAAAUUGUCAAAGUUCUGCAGAGCAUCUUUAUCAACAAUGAUCUGCACAUGUACUAUGAGGAAGCUGACAAGCCUGCACGGGCCCGCACCUCCAAUUUGAAUGAGGAACUUGGCCAAGUUGACACCAUACUUUCUGAUAAGACUGGAACACUCACCUGCAACUCCAUGGAAUUUGUUAAAUGUUCUGUGGCCGGCACAGCUUAUGGCCAUGGGGUCACAGAGGUCGAGAGGGCUAUGGCUAGAAGAAAAGGAUCACCUUUGGUUCAUGAGGUGGAAGAUGGAAGGAAUGAUGUUGAAGAUCCUGCUUCAGCAAAACCAUUGAUUAAAGGCUUCAAUUUUAAGGAUAAAAGGAUCAUGAAUGGAAAAUGGGUUAAUGAGGCGCACUCAGAUGUCAUUGAGAAGUUCCUACGUUUAUUGGCAAUCUGCCACACAGCCAUACCUGAAGUGGAUGAAGAGACAGGGAAAAUCUCCUAUGAAGCCGAAUCACCGGAUGAGGCAGCCUUUGUGAUUGCAGCAAGAGAACUUGGAUUUACAUUUUACAAUAGAACACAAACAAGCAUCUCACUGCAUGAGUUAGAUCCUGUGUCUGGAAAACAGGUUGAAAGGUCAUAUAAACUCUUGAAUAUAUUAGAGUUUAAUAGCUCAAGAAAGCGGAUGUCUGUGAUAGUACAAAAUGAAGAGGGAAAGCUGUUACUACUUUGCAAAGGUGCUGACAGUGUUAUGUUUGAGAGGCUUGCAAAGAAUGGAAGGAAAUUUGAAGAGCAGACUAGGGAUCACAUGAAUGAGUAUGCUGAUGCAGGCUUGAGGACCUUGAUACUUGCUUAUCGUGAACUUAGUGAGGAAGAAUACAAGGCGUUCAAUGAGGAAUUUACCGAAGCCAAGAAUUCAGUCAGUGCAGAUCGGGAUGAAAUGGUUGAUGAAGUGGCAGAGAAGAUUGAGAAAGAUUUGAUUCUUCUUGGUGCUACCGCUGUAGAGGACAAACUCCAAAAUGGGGUUCCACAGUGCAUUGACAAGCUUGCGCAAGCUGGAAUUAAAAUAUGGGUUUUAACUGGAGAUAAGAUGGAGACUGCCAUCAACAUUGGCUUUGCCUGUAGUUUGCCAAGGCAAGGAAUGAAGCAGAUAAUUAUCAAUUUGGAAACACCAGAAAUUAAAGCAUUGGAAAAAGAGGGGCAAAAGUUUGCAAUUGCCAAGGCUUCAAAGGCAAGUGUUGUGAAUCAGAUAAAUGAAGGGAAGGCACAGCUCACUGCAUCAAAUGGCAACAGUACAUAUGCUUUGAUCAUUGAUGGAAAGUCACUUGCCUAUGCUCUUGAGGAUGAUAUCAAAAGCAAGUUUUUAGAGUUGGCAAUUGGUUGUGCAUCCGUUAUCUGCUGUCGUUCAUCACCAAAGCAGAAGGCACUUGUUACACGACUAGUUAAACGUGGAACAGGUAAGACAAUAUUAGCAAUUGGUGAUGGGGCCAAUGAUGUGGGGAUGCUUCAAGAAGCAGAUAUUGGAAUUGGUAUUAGUGGUGUCGAAGGGAUGCAGGCUGUCAUGUCUAGUGACAUUGCAAUUGCUCAGUUCCAAUACUUGGAACGUUUGCUACUUGUACACGGGCAUUGGUGUUACAGAAGGAUCUCAUCGAUGAUCUGCUACUUCUUCUACAAAAACAUUACAUACGGUUUUACCCUCUUCUUGUUUGAAGCUUAUGCAUCAUUCUCUGGGCAACCUGCAUAUAAUGAUUGGUAUAUGUCUCUUUAUAAUGUCUUCUUCACAUCACUUCCAGUGGUUGCCCUUGGUGUGUUUGAUCAGGAUGUCUCAGCAAGGCUUUGUUUAAAGUUCCCUCUACUAUACCAAGAAGGUGUGCAAAAUGUCCUAUUCAGCUGGUGCCGAAUUCUGAGCUGGAUGUUUAAUGGAGUUUGCAGUUCCAUAAUCAUUUUCUUCUUCUGCACAAGUGCAUUGGAGCAUCAAGCAUUUCGCAAAGGAGGUGAGGUUGUUGGGUUGGGGAUCCUGGGUACAACUAUGUACUCAUGUGUCAUUUGGGUUGUGAACUGCCAGAUGGCCCUCUCUGUCAGUUAUUUCACCCUAAUACAGCAUAUCUUCAUCUGGGGUGGAAUCAUACUAUGGUAUCUCUUCCUCUUGGUCUAUGGGGCUAUGUCCCCCACCAUAUCCACCACUGCCUACAAGGUCUUCAUUGAAGCCUGUGCCCCAGCCCUCUCCUACUGGCUUGUCAUACUUUUUGUGGUAAUCUCCAGCCUCGUCCCUUACUUUUCAUACUCAGCUAUCCAGAUGCGGUUCUUCCCGAUGUACCAUGAGACAAUACAAUGGACAAGACUGGAGGGGAGAUCUGAGAACCCCGAGUAUUGCAAUGUGGCGCCACAAAUAUCUUUACAGCCCACAACAGUAGGCUUUACAUCACAGGUAGAAKAGAAAAGAAAUCACUAGAAACAUAAUUUAAGUCCAUAGAAAAAAUUGUAAAGAUUUUUAUGGAUUUUUGGCCCUUGGAUGCAGAGGUGAUUUGUAAGCCAAAUUUCUGCACAUUGUAUAUCUUCUCCAAGUUCGCUGAUACUGUCAUCUUCUCCAAGUGGAUUACAGUCAAACCUAGAACCUCUCGUACUAUUGUUGCGAGCAGAAGUCUAAAAGCUAGAAACUCAAGAAUUCAUAGCUAUCCAUUUCACAGAAUUGGCAAGAUCAUUUGUUGUAGUGCUGUACAAGAGUGGAGAAAUACAUUCUACUCAUGUUUAUUGGGAGAAAGGUUAUGGGCUUGCUCUUUCACAACCUUAAGGGGUAAUUGAUGAGGGUCAAACUAACCACCAACAGGAUUGUGACACGUGGCUACAUAAAAAGAUUUGAUAACACCUCGGAUACCAUAAAUUGUGGUUAGCUAUGAGGUCUCUCAAUGACAUCUUUCUUAGGCCAGCUUGGUAGAAGCACAUUCCUACCGAGCUGAGCUGUGGUCAAAAGAAACACACCUUGCCAAGCUGAGCUCACAUCAGAAGAAGCACAACCAAGCAAAUCCAUGUGUGAUAAACAACAGCCACUUGGCGAUACGAUCAUCCAAUUUACCCACUCUGGUAGAGAGGGGUGCCCAGACUUUCUCCAUGUACAUUAAACAUGUCUUUCAAAUCUAACAGGUGUCCUCCCACAGGUUGUCACCAGACUCACCACGUGUUGAUCCACAAGAUGAAUGUCCCAGCUUAUAUAAAGGUUCUCGCCUCGUCCUAGUUCGAGUCUCUGUCUGAGGAACCUGAUCAUCCUUUUUUUUCUGUUUGGUGGCUUUUGUCGUCAUCAGUAAUCAUCUGGAAAUCAGCAGUUUCCAGGUGUCAUGAUUAUGUUAAGAGACAAUUAUCCCUUUACUCCAAAUAUAAGAGAGUUUUGUAUGAUUAAGUUUGUGAGUGCAUUUUGGCCAUCAUCUCCGGUUACUGGCAACAUGCUAUUAUCAAUUGUCAAGCCUUAUGAUGCGGUGAUUUAGGGGUUUCUUAUAGUGUACUCUAUAUUUGUGUUGUGCGAGGAACUUUGUUCUGACUUGAUUGAGGUUGUUUGACAAAUCUGGUUUCAAGGACUUUGAACCCCUCUUUGAAGGUCAAGGCUCAUAGGAAGCAAUGGUGGUAUUCUUUGGGAGUGGGUUUCUUCAGGGAUUUAUAAGGAGGCUGUAAGUAAGAUAUCUUGGAUGUUAAAUAGCUGAUUGUACACUUUGGAUACAGAAUUCUUAUUAGCUAUUAUGCUAGGACGGGCUUAUUAAAGACUUUCUUAACAGUACCAUUCAGAACUUUGUGAGUGAUAUGCUGGUAAAGAAUUUCAUUAUAAUGUAAACAAGAAAAGAAUAUGUUACUAUGCAAUGCUGCCAUGAAUGAUUUUUCAGAAAAUGUAGGAUUGUUAAUAAGGGCCUGAUAAACAAGUCUCUUCUGCAAUAUAAUAUAAGGACUGGUUUCUUGUAA